AUGGCAGCAACCAUAAGGGCGAUAGCGAAUAAGCUCACCACAUUAAGGUGCAACAUAACCACAUCACGGAAUGUUGGCAACCGCUUCAACCCAGACCAAAAUCCCAAAACACGGAAAUGCAUGGCAAUCGAACCGCUUCAACCCAGACCAAAAUCCCAAAACACGGAAAUGCAUGGCAAUCGAACCGCUUCAACCCAGACCAAAAUCCCAAAACACGGAAAUGCAUGGCAAUCGAACCGCUUCAACCCAGACCAAAAUCCCAAAACGCGGAAAUGCACCCUGCUAUUAUGUGGACAACAAUACACACUGCAGAACAUGGCCCAGAUCACAGAUGCAGGGGGAACAAAAUCCAUGCAAGGUCAAGGGUUCGAUCCCAAGUUUAUCCACCAUUUUAUGAAUAUUUCUUUGGUUUUUAUAAAAGACCAAUGCAUCUUUAAAAAACCCAGACAAGGCAUCGUUUCAUGA
rnacentral:rRNA from 1 species